rnacentral:rRNA from 1 species
AUGGAGUAUGUCCUGGAGACAAUCUAUCGCAUGCUUAAGAACUACAGUACUGCCAAACAGGGGAUGUCACUUAUCUAUGUCAAGAUUUACACCUAUCAGGUUUGUGAAUUGCCAGUGAAUAAAUGUGAAAUGUGUGCCUGCCAUUGUGCAACUAUUCUAGAACAUUGGUGGCGGCUAUUCAGGGGGCUCACACACAUUCAUACUGUUUCUGGAGUCUGUCACAAGGAUGUGAAGCCACAAAAUGUUUUGUUGGGCAGGGCCUUUGGAUGGGAAUCAUCUUCAGUAUUCUUGUUCAGGUCUUGCUGUUCGUAG